UGAACUGUGGGGACACGUAAGGAAAGCGGAAGCCGGGAAUGGAAAGCCCGGUGCAAGCGGGGUACCAGUCACUUUGGCAAAUCCGGGUGGCAAUGGGAAGCCGUGAUGCGGAGUGAAAUAAAGUAACGAAGUCCGUGAGCCAUGCGUCAAGAAAAGCCGCCAUCGUUUAUACCGUACCCGUACCGUAAACCGACACAGGUGGAUGAGGAGAGAAUCCUAAGGCCGGCGGAAGAAGCAUUGUCAAGGAACUCGGCAAAAUGGCCCCGUAACUUAGGGAUAAGGGGUGCCUGGGAAACCAGGCCGCAGAGAAUAGGCUCAAGCAACUGUUUAGCAAAAACACAGGUCUAUGCGAAACCGAAAGGUGAGGUAUAUGGGCUGACGCCUGCCCGGUGCUGGAAGGUUAAGAGGAGAGGUUAGCGCAAGCGAAGCUUUGAAUUUAAGCCCCAGUAAACGGCGGCCGUAACGAUAACGGUCCUAAGGUAGCGAAAUUCCUUGUCGGGUAAGUUCCGACCCGCACGAAAGGCGUAAUGAUUUGAGCGCUGUCUCGACAAUGCAUCCGGUGAAAUUGAAGUACCAGUGAAGAUGCUGGUUACCUGCGCCAGGACGGAAAGACCCCAUGGAGCUUUACUCCAGUUUGGUACUGGGACUCGGUAUUGCAUGUACAGGAUAGGUGGGAGGCUAGGAGACAGUAACGCCAGUUAUUGUGGAGCCGCUGUUGGGAUACCACCCUUGCAGUAUUGGGUUUCUAACCAGCCGCCGUGACCCGGCGGUGGGACAAUGCCAGACGGGGAGUUUGACUGGGGCGGUCGCCUCCGAAAGGGUAUCGGAGGCGCCCAAAGGUUCCCUCAGAAUGGACGGAAACCAUUCGAAGAGUGCAAAGGCAGAAGGGAGCUUGACUGCGACACCGACGGGUGGAGCAGGUACGAAAGUAGGGCUUAGUGAUCCGGUGGUAUUAAGUGGGAAUGCCAUCGCUCAACGGAUAAAAGCUACCCUGGGAUAACAGGCUUAUCACUCCCAAGAGUUCACAUCGACGGAGUGGUUUGGCACCUCGAUGUCGGCUCAUCGCGUCCUGGGGCUGUAGUAGGUCCCAAGGGUUGGGCUGUUCGCCCAUUAAAGCGGUACGCGAGCUGGGUUCAGAACGUCGUGAGACAGUUCGGUCCCUAUCCGGCGUGGGCGUAGGAUAUCUGAGAGGAGCUGUCCUUAGUACGAGAGGACCGGGAUGGACGGGCCGCUGGUGCAUCGGUUAGACUGCCAAGUCUACGGCCGAGUAGCCAAGCCCGGAAGGGAUAAACGCUGAAGGCAUCUAAGCGUGAAGCCCCCCUUAAGAUGAGAUAUCCCAUUCGAAAGAAGUAAACCCCCUUGAAGACGACGAGGUAGAUAGGGCAGAGGUGGAAGUGUGGCAGCACAUGGAGCUGACUGUUACUAAUCGGGUGAGGGCUUGACC
rnacentral:rRNA from 1 species